UUUGUAAAUAUAUGUACUUGCAAAUUUUCAAUAAGCCUCUAACAUAAAAAAGAAAAAAAAUUUAACUUGAACAGCUUGAUCUCAUAUCCAUCAAUCCUUACAAAAUUUGCCAAUGUAUUAUUUUGAUGCUUGAUUGUAAAUGUCAAAUGAUUAUCGAUAAAAUGUUUUUCUUCCUUACAAACAACAAAGCCAACUUUGUUUGAAUAAAAAAAAAAACUAAAAAUUAUUCUAAAAUAAACCCAUUCAAUCACCUUCAACCCAGAGCCCCUCAAACCAUAGCCCAGUCCUAUCACCGCCGAAAAUCCCAAGCCCCUUAUCGAACCUAGACAACCCUUUCUUCGACCAUCAGACCCAAAACCAGUCCGCCCUAAAACAAAGUGAAUUCCUCAAAAAGGAAGCUGUCGAAAACAGUUAAAAAAGAAAUCACAUACAAAAAGCAUGAAAAACCACAUCCCCAACGAAGAGAAACAGUACUAGAAAAAGCCAACACACAAAAAAAAAAUGAAAACAGAAAGUGGGAAGGGGUUUCAGUUUUUAGGAUUUUUGGAUGAUUUGGAGAUAUUUUGUAAGAAAAGGAAAGGGAGCUCAUUUCUGAGUCACAAGCGGUGGCAAAACCCAUGGUGGUGCAUGAUAGCUCAUGACUGUGCAGAUUUUUGGGGUGAUUAGGAAUGAUGGAAACGAAGUGUGAGAAGAGGGUAGCAACAUACCAAAAUCUUAGAAGGAUCAGACAGACGAGGGCGAGAUUUUGGGACUUAAAAAUUUUGGUUUUGAUAUCAUAUCUUGGCUUCUAGUGGUUUUUUUUUUUUUUAAAGAAUUUGGAAUGAUAUUUAAGGGUUGAAAUGAGUCUGCAGUGAAAAUUUACGGGCAAAAUGGUACCAGCAGACAGUAAUUGGUGGCUAGUUUGCUGAAUCUGGGGUCUGGGAAGAGAGAGCCUUUGUUUUUUGAAAGAGACAGAAGAUCUUUUUUUUUUUUUUAAGGAGGAGAAAUGAAACAAAAAAAAUUUUGAGUUAUAUAAAGUGUAAAACAAAAAUCAAAAGGGUGGAGCGAGUCAACCCAACUCGAAUGCCUCUUCCUCCCACAUGGUUUUUUUUUUUUUUUUUUUACACUAUUGAGGAUAUUAAUAGGUUUUCAGAUCAUGUGGCAUUGCAUGGUUAUUGGAAAUGACACGUGUCACAUAUUUGCCAAAAAUAUAAAUAAAAGAAAGGAGUAAAAGGUUCGUGAUCUUGGAUUUCCCUAUGAAGAAACCUUGGGAUUAUCGUCCAACAUGACUGAUCAUAUUAUGUUUUCUUAUCUUUCAGAACAAAACUUCUAUAGGACACCAGGUGGAUUGAUCCUCUUAAGGCCUGAUUAUGGUGGACCAUUCUAGUUUGCAGCAACAUCAUCAUUCUUGGAGCUUCUCCACUUCUCAGGCAAAUCUAUAUUUGCAAUAAAGAAUUAUAAAAAUAAAGUUUUUCAAUUUUUUACUUUCUCAUUCUUUUAGACAUAAUUAUUAAUUUAAAAAUUUUUCAUUAUGUAUUUUUUGAAUCAAACCUUAAUACGUUUUGCAGGAUCUAAUGGCUAUUGGAAUUAUAGGCACCAGGACAUAAAUUCUUACUCAAAUUUAAACUUUUUCUCUUUAACAUGAUUUUUGAAAAUAUUUAUGAUCUGUUUUUAAUUUCCACUCCACUUUAAAAGAGUCCAAUCUGUUAACAAAGUUAAAGGGUUUUUCUUUAUUUUUUGGAUCUGAUGUUGAAUUUAUUGGUUGAUUAUUGAUU